rnacentral:misc_RNA from 1 species
GAAAUGCGAUAAGUAAUGUGAAUUGCAGAAUUCAGUGAAUCAUCGAAUCUUUGAACGCAUCUUGCGCUCCUUGGUAUUCCUUGGAGCAUGCCUGUUUGAGUAUCAUGAAAUCUUCAAAGUAAAUCUUUUGUUAACUCAAUUGGUUUCUACUUUGGUAUUGGAGGUCUUUGCAGCUUCACACCUGCUCCUCUUUGUUCAUUAGCUGGAUCUCAGUGUUAUGCUUGGUUCCACUCGGCGUGAUAAGUUAUCUAUCGCUGAGGACACUGUAAAAGGUGGCCAAGGUAAAUGCAGAUGAACCGCUUCUAAUAGUCCAUUGACUUGGACAAUAAUUUUAUGAUCUGAUCUCAAAUCAGGUAGGACUACCCGCUGAACUUGAGC